rnacentral:rRNA from 1 species
AAAAGAAACCAACAGGGAUUGCCCUAGUAACGGCGAGUGAAGCGGCAACAGCUCAAAUUUGAAAUCUGGCCUUCGGGUCCGAGUUGUAAUUUGUAGAGGAUGCUUUUGGUGCGGUGCCUUCCGAGUUCCCUGGAACGGGACGCCAUAGAGGGUGAGAGCCCCGUCUGGUUGGACACCAAUCCUCUGUAAAGCUCCUUCGACGAGUCGAGUAGUUUGGGAAUGCUGCUCUAAAUGGGAGGUAUAUGUCUUCUAAAGCUAAAUACCGGCCAGAGACCGAUAGCGCACAAGUAGAGUGAUCGAAAGAUGAAAAGCACUUUGAAAAGAGGGUUAAAUAGUACGUGAAAUUGUUGAAAGGGAAGCGCUUAUGACCAGACUUGAGCCCGGUUAAUCAUCCAGCCUUCUGGCUGGUGCACUUGGCCGGCUCAGGCCAGCAUCAGUUCGGCGCGGGGGAUAAAGGCUUCGGGAAUGUGGCUCCUCGGGAGUGUUAUAGCCCGUUGUGUAAUACCCUGUACUGGACUGAGGUUCGCGCAUCUGCAAGGAUGCUGGCGUA